UUAAGGGCGUGCGGGGAAUGCCUUGGCACUAUAAGACGAUGAAGGACGCGACUACCUGCGAAAAGCUUUGGGGAGCUGGAAGUAAGCAAUGAACCAGAGAUAUCCGAAUGGGGGAACCCGGCACAAGUAAUGUUGUGUCAUCCACUAGUGAAUACAUAGCUAGUGAGAAGGAAACCCAGGGAACUGAAACAUCUAAGUACCUGGAGGAAAAGAAAGAAAAUCGAUUCCCUAAGUAGCGGCGAGCGAAAAGGGAGGAGCCCAAACCAACCUUAGGGUUGGGGUUAUAGGACUGCGAGGUACAAAGCUGAGGAUAGUAGAAUUAUUUUGGGAAAAUAAGCCAAAGAGGGUGAAAGCCCCGUAUACGAAAUCUGAGGUGGAGUUAGCAGUAUCCUGAGUACGGCGAGACACGAGAAAUCUUGUCGGAAUUAUCGGAGACCACUCCGAAAGGCUAAAUACUAUAUAGUGACCGAUAGUGAACCAGUACCGUGAGGGAAAGGUGAAAAGAACCCCGAGAGGGGAGUGAAAGAGAACCUGAAACCGCAUGCCUACAAGAAGUUAGAGGGCGUUAAAGCCUGAUAGCGUGCCUAUUGCAGAAUGAACCGGCGAGUUAUUUUGGUAUGCAAGGUUAAGUUGAAGAGACGGAGCCAAAGGGAAACCAAGUCUUAAUAGGGCGAAAGUAUACUGAAAUAGACCCGAAACCAGGUGAUCUAACCAUGACCAGGUUGAAGUGUGGGUAAGACCACAUGGAGGACCGAACCGACGCUCGUUGAAAAGAUCGCGGAUGAGUUGUGGUUAGCGGAGAAAUUCCAAUCGAACCUGGAUAUAGCUGGUUCUCCCCGAAAUAGCUUUAGGGCUAGCCUUGGAAGAAGAUAAGUGGAGGUAGAGCACUGAAUAUAUGAUGGCUUCGCGAGAGGUACUGAAUAUAAUCAAACUCCAAAUGCUACUUAUUAUUAUCCAGGAGUCAGACUGUGGGGGAUAAGCUCCAUAGUCGAGAGGGAAACAGCCCAGACCGCCAGAUAAGGUCCCAAAAUCUAUGCUAAGUGUAAAAGGAAGUGAAGAUGCUUAGACAGCUAGGAUGUUGGCUUAGAAGCAGCCAUCAUUAAAAGAGUGCGUAACAGCUCACUAGUCGAGUGACUUUGCGCCGAAAAUGUACCGGGGCUAAGCAUAGUACCGAAGCUGCGGAUUAUUCUAAAGAAUAGUGGUAGGGGAGCGUUCUAACAUCAACGAAGCUAUACCGUGAGGAGUAGUGGAGAGGUUAGAAGUGAGAAUGCCGGUGUGAGUAACGAAUGUGGGUGAGAAUCCCACACACCGAUUGUCUAAGGUUUUCUGGGGAAGGUUCGUCCGCCCAGAGUUAGUCGGGACCUAAGGCGAGGCCGAAAGGCGUAGUCGAUGGACGACAGGUAAAGAUUCCUGUACCCGCAUAUAGGUGAAGUAGUGACAAAGAAGGCUAAGUUGAGCCCACGGCUGGAAGAGUGGGUCCAAGCGAGGUAGCUGGUGCAUAGGCAAAUCCGUGCACCGAUAAGGCAAAGACGUGAUGGGGAGUGAACGCUGCGGCAAGUAACGAAGCAACUGACGCCAGCUUUCAAGAAAAGCUGCUAGCAUUAACUAUAUGUGGCCCGUACCGAGAACGAACACACGUGGACAAGGAGAAAAUCCUAAGGUGAGCGAGAAAAUUGUUGUUAAGGAACUCUGCAAAAUGACCCCGUAAGUUAGCGAGAAGGGGAGCUCUAGAAAUAGAGCCGCAGUGAAGAGACCCAAUCGACUGUUUAUCAAAAACACAGCUCUAUGCUAAGCCGUAAGGCGAUGUAUAUGGGGUGACGCCUGCCCAGUGCUGGAAGGUUAAGAGGAGGGGUUAGAAUUAAUUUAUUAAUUCGAAGCUCUAAAUUUAAGCCCCAGUGAACGGCGGCCGUAACUAUAACGGUCCUAAGGUAGCGAAAUUCCUUGUCGGGUAAGUUCCGACGCGCACGAAAGGCGUAACGAAUUGGGUGCUGUCUCAACAACAAACUCGGUGAAAUCUUAGUACCUGUGAAAAUGCAGGUUACCCGCGACUAGACGGAAAGACCCCAUGGAGCUUUACUACAGCUUGAUAUUGAAAAUUGGGCCAACAUGUACAGGAUAGGUAGGAGACAAUGAAACCGGGGCGUCAGCUUCGGCGGAGUCACCGUUGGGAUACUACUCUUGUUGGUACGGUUUUCUAACUUAGACCCUUGAAGCAGGGCUAAGGACAGUGUCUGGUGGGUAGUUUGACUGGGGCGGUCGCCUCCUAAAGAGUAACGGAGGCGCUCAAAGGUACCCUCAGCAUGGAUGGAAACCAUGCAAAGAGUGUAAAGGCAUAAGGGUGCUUGACUGCGAGACGUACAUGUCGAGCAGGGACGAAAGUCGGACUUAGUGAUCAGGCGGUUCCGAGUGGAAGGGCCGCAGCUUAACGGAUAAAAGUUACCCUGGGGAUAACAGGCUUAUUUCCCCCAAGAGUUCACAUCGACGGGGAAGUUUGGCACCUCGAUGUCGGCUCAUCGCAUCCUGGAGGCGUAGUCGCUUCCAAGGGUUGGGCUGUUCGCCCAUUAAAGCGGUACGCGAGCUGGGUUCAGAACGUCGUGAGACAGUUCGGUCCCUAUCUGUCGUGGGCGCAGGAAGUUUGAAAGGAUCUGUUCUUAGUACGAAAGGACCAGAAUGGACACACCAAUGGUGCACCAGUUGUCACGCCAGUGGCACAGCUGGGUAGCUAAGUGUGGAAAGGAUAAACGCUGAAAGCAUCUAAGCGUGAAACCAACCUUAAGAUGAGACUUCCCAUUCUAUAUGAAGUAAGACCCCUUGAAAGUGACAAGGUUGAUAGGUCACAAAUGUAAGCACAGCGAUGUGUUAAGUUGAGUGAUACUAAUAGGUCGAGGACUUAAUU
rnacentral:rRNA from 1 species